rnacentral:rRNA from 1 species
UACAGAGGUCCCGAGCGUUGUUCGGAUUCAUUGGGCGUAAAGGGUGCGUAGGCGGUCUUCUAAGUUUGAUGUGAAAUUCCGGGGCUCAACCCUGGCAUGGCAUUGAAUACUGGAGGACUAGAGUACCGGAGAGGAAACUGGAAUUUACGGUGUAGCAGUGAAAUGCGUAGAGAUGUGGAGGAACACCAGUGGCGAAGGCGACUCUUUGGUCUGUAACUGACGCUGAUGCGCGAAGGCCAGGGGAGCGAACGGG